rnacentral:rRNA from 1 species
AACGACUCUCGGCAACGGAUAUCUCGGCUCUCGCAUCGAUGAAGAACGUAGCGAAAUGCGAUACUUGGUGUGAAUUGCAGAAUCCCGUGAACCAUCGAGUCUUUGAACGCAAGUUGCGCCCGAAGCCAYYAGGCCGAGGGCACGUCUGCCUGGGCGUCACGC